UGGCCAUCUGCCGGCCUUUAGGCUACAUCAGCCUGCUAGCGGCAGUGCCAAUUAGCCGUUAGCGCUGGCUAAUCGCUAGAUGGCUAAAGACGACCACAACAGCUGUGUGUGUGUGUGUGUGUGUGUGUGUGUGUUCGUGCAUGUGAAUGUGCGUGCAUGCAUACGUGUGUGUGCAACACGGAGUGUGUUAGUGUAUCCCAGCUUAUUGUCACGUAUGAAUGAUUGUAUAUAAUGUUUUAUCAUUAAUAUAUUAUGCUCUGAAGUUGUGAAGUAGUUGAGUUGACGAAGCAGUUUAAUGUAGUUUAAUGCACACGCACACACACACGUCUGGAAACCAGGAGGGGAACAGAGAUUGGAAAGAGAACUGCAAGAAAACCAGUAUCUGGUGGAAGAGGUCGACUGUUCACCCCAGAGCAGGAGACCCACAUUGUAAAUAUGGUCAUUGCAAAUAACUGCAUCAGACCCAGAGAACUGCAGGACCACAUAAUGGCAGAUAACACCAUAUUCCAAAACGUCAACAGUCUCUCGGCACUGUCUCGUCUACUGAAACGCAAUAGAAUUAGGAUGAAAAAGCAAAAGAAACUCAGACCGUGUAAAACAACUGAGAUAUGAAUAUGUGCAGAGAGUCAUGGAGCUAGAAGCAGACGCAGUGCAUCAUGAGCUAAUAUAUGUGGACGAGGCAGAUUUCAACCUUGCAAAAAAAGGGGCCGUGGCAGAAAUAUAAUCGAACACCGUGUCAACGUCCCGGGACAACGUGGUGGCAACAUAACAAUGUGUGCGGCUAUUAGUCAAAACGGUGUCCUUCACCAUCAUGCAAUCCUAGGCCCAUACAACACACCCUUUCUGGACACCCUCCACAACAGAUUAAUCCCUAAUGACCAGGGGCCAGAGCAGCCCAGGUACGUUAUCAUCUGGGACAAUGUUAAUUUCCACCGGGCUGCUGUGGUCCGCAAUUGGUUCAUAGGUCACCCACUUUUUAUCGCACUCAAUCUCCCCCCCAUACUCUCUGUUCUCGAAUCCCAUUGAAGAAUUCUUCUCUGCAUGGCGUUGGAAGCUGUAUGAUCGCCAGCUCCACCAACCCAUACCCUUUCUACAGGCAAUGGAGGAGGCUUUUGCAAGACAUGUAUAAUGUUUUGCUGGUUUGGUGUAAGGUUUUGUGGUUAGUGUGUAGAGUUUUGUAAAAAUAGCCUAUAUUUUCAAAGAUGGUGCCUAAGCAAUCAGGAAAAAAAAAAUACCCGCACACUGCUCUUGAUAGUAUCACUGCUCUUUAAUAAGCUUUACGUAUCAGCCUCACGGCUUAUUAAAGAGCGGUGAUACUUUCAAGAGCAGUGUGCAGGUUUCUUUUUUUCAAAAUUUUAUUCAACUGUUACCAUGCACUUUCAAAAAAGAGAUGUGCGAGGGCCUUUUGA